ensembl:lncRNA
UUACCAUUUACCAUUUAAAAUAACAUUAACAAUUAAACACUAAAAUACAAAAACUCUAAAAUACACUUUCUAAAGUAAUUACUCAUUACUUUUAAGAUGUAGUCUUUAGAAGAUAAAGAGACAUUCAUUAUAAACAACAUUUAUCGAGAUUAAUGAGUUUCAAAAUGUGCGAUUAAUUAAUUUUUUGAAAUCUAUUGACAGUCCUACUGGUGUUACAUGUGGUGCUGAGCCCAUGACGUAAAAGCACACAAAAUACUGUGAUGGAAGCUGCAGGAGGAGGAAUGGUGCUUGGAUGGAAAAAGAGAAAUUCCUGCUUAGGUUUGUUUAUCUUUCAGCAAAUCCUACAUUUUGGUUAAGUUAAUUAUUCCUUUAAGGUGUAUUUUGAUGCUGUAGUAUCAGAUGCACAGUAUUUCUGUAAUUGAUUAUUUGCUGCAGUCCUAGAAGGAGGACCAGUCCAGUCCUGGACCUUUUUUUGGAAUUUCAUGAAUUGAGUGUAGGGCUGCAUGGUAUACCGGUAUAAGAUUUCCGUACGGUAUGAAUUUCUCACGUACCGUUCAUACCGGUGUUACGCCAUAACUGACGUUGCUCCUCGGCAGGGGGCAGAAUUUAAUUUUACACGUCAUCGCAGCGCACCCAGCGGUCAGAGCUACUCGUCUUGCGCAUGUUGAUCAUGGUUAUAACAACAAUGAAUAACCCACAACAAAGACUCUUUAACAGGGUAAGACACCUGGACACAACAUCUUGUGACACAUAAACAAUUUGUAACACUAAUAAUUGUACAUAAAUAAAAAAUUACCCCGUCGAACUGCAUGCUGCGUACAGCUCACAACAACAACAAGUAACUCUGUUGCUACAUGAAAACACGGAAAAAGAGUGAUACAGGAGGAACAAGGAGAGGCCAGAGAUGCACAAACACCUUCAAUUUAAAAAUAAUUGUUGCCCAAAAUAUUGUUUUUCACAGUACUCCCAAGUGUGAGGCUGGAAUGGCCCUUGAGCAAAAAAAGUGAAAUGCAAAGUAGCCUAUGGAAGGAUGUGUAGAUAUGGAAUGCGAAGACGAUGCAAGCCGUGCUGUGUUGAAGAUAAACUGCAUUUAACGCAUACAGAGAUGGUUCCUUCAUCCAUGUUUACUGAUGUCAAGUCCUACCUCCUUAUUGAUCGGCGCGUCGCUCUGAGAGAAAUGCUCCUCAUGAGAGAACCUUUCAUGUUCUCCCAUAUGCAGGAUUGUGCUAGAACUAAUGACCUUCAGGGGGAGGUCAAAGAGUAAGGCAGUUUUCAGGUUUUAACAUUGAUUUCAACCUUAAAAUGGCAGCCGUUACAAGGCAAGUGCUGGGGACUGAGACAUGCGUUUGGACGUGUGCGUUGGUCCAGUUAUUAAGAGAAGUCUGCUAAUUACGGCAGACAAAACAAUAAAAAGGAGAAUGCCACGAGGCCUGCCGAUCCCCAGUGCAGAAACGCACACACGCACAAGCGGGUAAUGUGGGUGUAGAAAGAGGAGUGCCAAUUAUCUCAUUGCUCCAAGCGCUGCUGCUUAGACUCAUCAGCAACCUGGAAGAGAUGCGCUGUGACAGAACGAGGAGUAAGGAGGGAAAAAAAGUCCUAUCCCCCUUACUACUUGUUCUAUCAAGGGGGCAUCUGCCGAUGUUACAAACAAGCUCUACGUUGUUGAAAAUGACACAGAUGUGUCAACAUGAAGCUGGAUUCAACUUCAUUAAAGAAAACCGUUGGAAAUGAAGGACGACAACGUGUAAUGAUGAGUCGAGGAAAGAUGACAAGUGAAACUUUCUUUUAUUCCUCUUUCCGUCUGUUUUCCGGCCAGUCUCUUGGAUUAUGUCUGAACAGGUAAGGCAGGACAAACAUGAGAUUUAGAACUGCUCGCCCCGGGUCCCUCACCAGUCCAGGACACCUAUAACGGUAACCUCCUAUGAACCACUUAAGGUAGCUUGAAUUAAAGUGGAUGAACAGCUGUCUUGUUGCAAUGUGAAAUGUAACCAACUUUCUGAAGUGUUUCAAUGUCGUGCAUGCUCAGAUGAGGUCAGUGCAGUAUUACAUGAAAUAUUAAGGUCAUUAAACCAGCUUUAUUUUCUACAACAGUUAAAACAAUCUUAACUUUCCAAUUGUACUUACUAAAUAUUCCACUGCUGAGGGAAACUCAAUAUAGUGUCGGGCCAGGAAGGAUGAUCCGAAUCAGUGUGUUCUAUGUCAAUACCCGACAGAGUAGUUAUCAGUGGGAUCAAAUAGAUAACAUGCCAAGGCCCUAACAUGCUGGCGAGCAGUCCCACACAAACAAGACGGCACAGAUCACGUCAAAAACAGCCACUAGUGUGGAGGAAAAACCGACCAGCUGUUGCUGCUCUUGUUGAUCUGUGUAAGAAUUUCAAUGUCUUGCUCUAUCAUGGACAUCCAGCAAAUAUGGCUGUUCAGACCCCAGAAAGAGCUGAUGCAGAUGUUUAAUAUCAGUUAGUUGAUAAGUCAACUAAUUGGUCUAUUUCUAUGAUGGGCUUAUUUUUAAGAAAAUAUUCUCUGGUAAGCCAAUUUGAAAGUGGGGCUUUUUACAUUACAUGUCAUUUAGCUGACGCUUUUUAUCCAUAGUGAAUUACAUUGCAUUUUUAACCCGUCCCACACAGUGGGAGUAGUGUGCAGCUGUAAGAGCACCUGGGGAGCAGUUUGUGGUUGGGUAUCUUGCUCAGGGACACUUCGACAUGGGACAUGGAGCAGCCAGCGUUUGAACCGCCAUGCGCCAAACCCUGGCUGCUCCGGUUGCCUUUGCCUGAAUCUGUCUGAAAAUAAAUUUGACAGAUCUUUUGAUUUAAAUCAUGAAAUCAAUCAAUCGAGUGAGAAUGUCAUGUGUCCUGGUGUCGGUGUCAACUCAUUUAGUGCAAUAUACAAGGAUUUGCAUCAAUACAAGUGUAACCUUGCAAAAAGCAGCACUGCAUGAAAAGUGAGAUUUUCGUCCCCGUAAACGCCCGGAAAUCUCCCUAAUUUCCGACAAUUUGCAACCUGCGCACGUCGCGUUUGUCUGUGCCACAAAUUGUCGGAAACGAACCAUGACGUAUGUGGAGAGCUGGCGGAGGUGCGAAUGGCCUGAAUUAGCAUAUGAAUGUCACGGUGUGGUUCACUUCCUGUUGUAUUUUGUAGUUUUCUGCCACUCGUGUCCCCGGGUAACUUCACUUCCUGCCUUGUCCCGUCAUCCCCUGUGAUCGUCUAAUAGUUUCCACCUGUGUCCAAUCACCUGCACCUCCCUUGUGUAUUUAAGCAGUGUGUCUCUUGUGUCACUUGUCGCGUCAUUGUCUUUCGCCACGCAUGUCCUUGUCUCUCGUCGUUCGCAGUUCCUGUCUCCCGUUUUGCCCCUUGGCCUUUUGCUUGAACCUUUUUGACAAUUAAAGUCCCUUUUGUUUCUGAACUCUGCGUCUGAGUCCUACCUCCCCCACAACCCCUGACAAUGAAUGCAGCGAAACCGCGGGUGGCCGAGCGGGCUUGAAUAUCCUUACUCCUUAUUGGAUGAAACCACAACUUACUAACAAAUAAAAUCACUCGGGAUUGGCAGCAAAACCACACCUGGGCAGACCAGGCUUGAGUUUCCUUGUUCAUGAUUGGAUGAAACCACAACUUUCAAUCACUCGUGAUUGGUUGGCAGAUCUGUCGCUAUUGGUCACCCGCCUCAUUUUAUUUAUAUAUAUUUAUAGACAAGUUUCCUGAGUGAAAUAAGCGGGCCGCCAUUGGCCUUUCACUCUGCCAACGACUUCCGGUUGUGUCUGCAAAGCACUUCCGGUUAGCGAGUUAGCGUCUUUUACGGUCUUUGGUUAGCGUGCAGAAAAAGUAAACUAUGGAUGGUGUUACACGCCGACACGGCUCCGGGACAUAUUGUGCUGUUCACGGUUGCAACAACUCGUGGCGAUUGCUGAAUGUUUGGUUGGAAGGAGAAUGUUUCGACCAUCAACCAUCUACAAGUGAGUAAAAUGCUAUAGAUUUGCACUCAAAUACGAAAGGCUUAUCAUUCAAAGUCAACACAGUCUACUAAUUAUUACGCGGACGAUUGUCAGCUUUUUCAUAGAAAAAAAAGUAAGUUAAUACCUUUAUCCAUUCAGAAGCUAGGGUACGCACUUUGACCCUCGUCAGUCAACUUUGAAGGGUUAAAGCAUGCUUUUAGUGCAGGCAGGCUAGAGGGGAUUACUUUUUCUUUUUAUUACUCUUCGUGUUCUUAAUACAAGCAUAAGAUGGGCUAACGUACCUUCCAAAGCGCGGCGGCUGCAUGGCUACAGGAACAGCCUGCAGUCUCCACAUCUCCCGUCUUGGUAACCAAAACCCAGGCGUUACGCGCUGAAUUGUUAACGGACUGGCUUGGUUGAACAUCGGCCGUUAUAUGCCCAUAUCGUGUAAAAGUACACAGCCCACUUUGUCGGAAUGGAGGUACUGAAACGCCUCUGAGCUUUCUUAGGUUAUUAAUUGCAUUCCCAUCCACCGCCAUGGAAUCAAUAAAAUAAGAAAAGAUCUUGGAUGUUGUGAUGCUGGGCCAUAUCGACACGUUGUCCGCCCAUGAUGUUACCUUACUUCGAUGCGGAAUGGUCAAAACACCAUUUUUAACAAGAUUUUCGGUCGAAUGUUGCCAUUCCAAAGCCAUUUUUACACCACUACUCAGCCUGCGCCGGAAGUUCUUGGCAGAAACAGGAAGUAAACCGGAAGUGCCCGGGAAACUUGUCUAUAUAUUCAUAUUAUGCUGUAUAUUAAUUUCAUGGUUAUCCUAUGUAGGCUACUACACUAUUAUUAGGAUACCAACCAGGACAUCAAUGAAUUUAUAGAGAAAAUGAACAUUUGCCACAUGUUUAUGCAAAGAAAGAGCUUUAUUAACAACACACAAACAACAACUACAUACAAAGUGAGGAUCUGACCACACUUGGGUAACGGCGGUUUAAAAACUACAGCCCAGUAAACUGUCCGUUGGCCUCCUCGGGGUUGUGGACCGUCACUGGCGCCGUGUUUUCCGAGGCAGGUCUGUUGUGCAGGCGCCUCGUGUGUGUGGCGACCGUACAAUCCACCCCGAGACCCCGCCAACAACGCCAUCCUCUCCGUCCAACGUGAGCUCCACGGUGGCGGAUUUCCAGAGUGCCACCUCGUCAUCAGCCAGCACACUUUGUCUCGAUUCCAGCAGCUGUAAAAACAACAAUGAAUCAGUACUGUGCGAUGCGUACGGACACAACACAUCUAUCAAUGCACCUGAAAAAAGUCAGCAAAUAAACUCUGACCCUCUUUCUUCUCGCUCGACUCCGCGCUGAAUCCUUCGCAGCUUCCGCCCGCAAUCAGUGUUCCGGCUGGGAAAACCUGAAGCUCCUGCGUACGUCUCAAAAUACGUCUUACAGGCGGCUGGAAAACAAUUAAAUGAGUGUGGUAUGAAUACAAAAAAAAUCAAACGCAAGUCACAGUAACAUUUAACAAGGAAGGACAAACAGUAAACAGUGUCACUUACACACAAUGACGUCGUCUAAAUCUGGAUUUUUCCCGGAGCAAAUACGAGGUCACCGCCUCAUUAUGAGGCGAGAUUAGUCUGUGAAAACAAAAUGUACAGUUAUGAUCGGUAUCCAUCCUAUGGUAUCUAUAUGUAUAUAUUUCCUUAUACCGCAGGAUGAACGCAUAUUCUUUAAAUCUUACCCUUGCUCCGGUUCGUAGCGCCUGUAAUUCGUCUCGGAGUUGUGAAGACGGCGCACCGCUUCCUGUAAACGACACGGCAAAGAAAAUAGACUUUAAUAAAGCUGUUUCUGCUCACUUGUAAGGCUACUAGGCUACUCUAAGCUUUCGUUUUAGGCUACGCUACUUUUAGCUUAGCUUGCAGUCAUCGAACGUAUUCUUACCGCUAUCUUGGGAUUGUGCGCCCGUCUCCUCUUCUUUGAGUCGGUUCCUCUCCUCCAUGGACAGAAACCUGGAGAGUCCCGAACGCUCCAGUGGAGCGAACCGCUCGUUGAUAUCGGCAGUUUGUUGUUGGAGUUGACGAGACAAUCCACUGAGAGCAUUCAGCAGCUUCUUCUCGUCUGUCUGCGGACUGGCCGAAAGUUGGUGACCGCGGAGAGGAGUUGAAGGCGAGUUGAACGCGAGACGUCGUCCAGCCAUUAUUCACGAACCAGCAAAAACCAAACAAAGGAACUGGUGUAAUGGGAAAAUGAUAUGUGACCCUUUUAAAUGCUUCAUUUGUAUAACCAGUUUAUUAGUUGCAAGUGCUUAGGUCACAAAGGCCCUGACAUAAGAACUGAUGUCUCCCACUUGGAUUAGAUGGUUCCAGCGUCAUAGCUGUAGAGAUUGAACAAAGUGUUUGUUACGUCUAUGACCACCUUUGUUUAAGCAUGUUGGGAGAGCAAGGACACGGUCAAAGAACUGACGUGUCUCACAUGGACAAGGUGUUCCCAGUACCCUGGCUGUAGAGACUCAACAAGAUGGUUAACGGUUUCUGUUGACGCCACCGAUAUCUAAACUUAGGUAUAAGAACUGCCUCGAUGUGUUGGGAAGAAAAGGAGGUUCUUGACAGUCUACUGACCACGUAGCUGUUGUGACCCUUUUUCCCUUGCAAGGAAAUAAACGGAGAAAAGACAUACUUGACUCAGAGCCUUUGAUUCUUACUUAACGAUUGUCUGUGCAAAAUCUUCCACCACACUGGAGAUACAGUUCUUCUGAAUAUAGUGUCUGUUUGUAUGCUCGUCUUGCAAGUACUGCUGUAUCAGUCAUGCCUAUGACCUCACACGUGAUUGGACGAGGAGUCUAAGGGUCCUCCAAUCACAUAUGAGGUUAUUGUUAUACGGAAGGACCAGUAUUUUAGGAAGACAAAUGGUUGGGACUUUGAAACAGCUGAUAUGCUUUAUGUAAAGCAGUGUUUUGGUGUCAGCAGAACGACUUUUCCUAGAAAACUGUACAGUGGUGCCUCUUUCUCCAUUACACCAGACAAUCUUGGAUGAGUCUGACAGACAUGCAAUGUUGACAAUGUAUCAUCAAAUGUACCCUUGUGUCACUGAGGUUGAAUGUUUUGCCAUGACAUGUAAACGGGUAACAUGUAUGAAUGUAACUUACUCAAUCGAUAGAUGUAGAGCAUAAGGGUCAGCAUGUGUUUAUGCUAAGUGGUGUGGAAACACUAACAGUUUUGAGGAACCCGUCCUUGACCCUCUAGCAGAACUACGACCAGCCAUUAUAAAGCAGUUUAUAGUUGUUAAUGUUGUGUCAAAGGGUACGGCAUUUAAACAUGUUCUUGCACAAGUUUCCUGGCUUCAUCUCCACCCGGACAGACAUUUUUAUGGAAAGCCAAUAGAAGUUUGGGGCUUGCAGGGAACAGAUACGUCAUUACAUUAUAUUACAUUACAUUACAUGUCAUUUAGCGGACGCUUUUAUCCAAAGCGACGUACAAUAAGUGCAUUCAACCAUAGGGUACAAACUCAGGAGAACAAGAAACAAGAAAGUGCAAUUUCCUCAAAUAAGCCAAUUUACAAUUUGCUAUAGUCAUACCCAGCAUCAUUUCUGCCAGUUGAGCGCAUUGCUAGAAGAUGUGUGGUUAAUACAUCCUCUGUGCAUUUAAGUAAGACCAAAGAAAAGGUCACUGUAGUCCUGCCACUAUGCACUGUAGUUGAGCUCUAGGAGACUGUGAUCCCUGCAGACCCCUCAUUCUGAUUCAAAUGUUGUUUGCAUGGAAUGCUCAUUUUACCUUGAUUAAAACUCAUUUUUUAAGUUAUUUUGUGUAUCUUUUUUACAUAACAUUUGCCAUUGCUAAUGGCGUACACAGUAAUCUAGCAUAUUUGAAUUAAAUAAAUCAAUUCAAGCUAAAAUGUAAGAGUCUAUAAUUAGGCUACUGAGCCUGAUCUAUUUGUACCAGAGAUUUUCUUACCUUUUAAAAAAAUGUCACCUGGGCUAAAACUCCCUCUGCGACCCUGAUUUGCAUUUGUAUAGCUCACAGCAUUUUCAUUUACAUGUCAAAGCCUCCCCUAGAAUUAGGAGGAGGGGGGUCAUGGGGGGACAACUGCCAAGGGAGGCCCACAUCAAUUUCUGACAAUUUCCGGCAGUUUUCGGCGUUGCCCGCAAAUUGCCGCAAACCUGAAAUUCCACGACAAUUUAUAGUGCCGCAUACUGCCGAAAAUCCCACUUUUCAUGCAGUGCAGAAUUAAUCAAAAAGACCAAACCAAAACAAUAGAUGUAAAAUACAUUUUAAUGGACUGCAGCACAUCGUUCCCUCUGCUGAAGAGGUGAUUGGCUGCAAUCUGCCCCGGACGCAGACUGUGCUAUUGGUGCAAUGGGUGUGCUGCUGCUGCUUUUCUACUAGAAUAAUGGUAGAGUAUGUCACUCAUGCUGUCCAACGGACCCUGUUGCUUUUACUAUCCUUCGACUAUUCAAAAAGUGGCGCCUUCAUCCCUGACAGCUGCCAACAAGGAGUGGUUAUUUUCCGUUAAAACGUGUAAAGUGUCCCAGUGUGAGCAGAAGUGAAAUAUCAUUCAUACAUAGCGGUGGACUAUCAAAAUCAGCAGCGCUGUAUGGCAGCAACAAUUGUAAAAAUGUCUGUUUUUUGUUUCAACUAUCAUCAGGCUGCUGUUGCCGAGACACAAUGACCACUAUAAUGGCUUCCAAGAGCAGUUUGUCUUCUCAAAGUCCCCAUAAAGCUGUAACAGCCGGUGUCACAUUUUCUUAAGUGCAUGGAUGCUGAAACAUGAUAGGCUUGUGAUUUAUCAACCAUAUCCAUCACAUAUCUGUGCUAUAUGUGUACCUGUGCACUUCUCUGGACUAAUUCGUUCUCGCUCUGUGUGAAUUCCCUGUGAUAAAGUCUACUUCGCUCACUCUGAUGGAAGAGUUGCUACGAAGAAACCCAGGUCAGUACCGUUUGAGAUUAAGAUGCAUUUUAUUUCACUUGCUGGGUGUCUGGUACACCGGAGAUAGACCACAAGGGUGUGAGUGAAAGUAUGAGGAAACAGCACUCAGGGAAGCUGCAAAGCAGCUGCAUUUUGUGACAUAAUAGACUUAAAAUAAAAUCAAAUGCAAUAGAAUAGAAACAGAAUGCAAUAGAUAAAUGAUGGGCUCAAGCAUAGAGAGCUGGGAUAUUGUACUGCAGUGACAAUGAUAGCAAAACAGAGCUUAUAACGUCUUAAAGAAUUUUACUGAGACGUUGAAAAAAAAGAACGAAUCCUACUUCAAAAUCACGUCCUCUUCUUGUACAGACACUUCCCCUCCAGGCCUCCAAAUUUGCAACUGCUGUUGCGGCUGUUUACAAUAAGGGGUUUGUGCUACAAGCAACAAAGCAUAAAGCAGUCAGGGUGUUUGGCUGGGAAGCACAGGCUGUAUGUAGAGGGCCCAUAAAUAACCUCAAGGGUGGGGGCAAACGUUCAGUAAAACAUGUCUGUUUAUCGCAAUGUUGCAUGCUAAACGGGCCAUGAUGGACAAUAAAGAUUUCCCAAUAGGGUUGGCCUGGCAGGUUUUCUGGAGCCUGACAAUACAAUGCUUUAUGUAUUUUCCCAGUAUUUAAUCAGAAUGGCUUGAAGGACAGCAUUUAAUGCCUUUCCUCUCAGCACGGUACCAUUGUAGCUAAGAUAACAGUGAAAGAUUGCCACCAAAGGUGUUUUUGGAACUGGGGUACCUUGAAUGUUUGUUUGACCCCAAUCUAGCGCACAAUUAACCCUCGUUGGACACUUUUCAUGUUAGAAUGCUUUCAUCUUUUUGUCACCAGUUUGGUCACUUCAUUGACGACAGCAACGGUCGACAUAAGGCUUUGUAACCAAGGGCGGUUUUAGUUUCACGUCAAUAUCUGUACAUAUUCAGUGCAUUUGGAUAUUGCUGCACUGUUAACACCCCAAGUAGAAUAUAGGGCAGGACAGAGCUGAUAACCUCGGCUUGGACUAUCUAGGCAGUCGUACUACUGUGACGCCUCAUCUUUAAUCUUUAAAGUUAACUUAUCAAAAGAACACAGUGGGAGGGUCUUCCUUCUGUACAGUUCUUUUACAGAUGUGCGUCUUUGAUUAUGAAAGGCUCAAGGAAGAAAUGCAAUCUCUUGAGACAGUACCAAGUAUCACUUCUACUAGAGCCCCAUGCACAAGGUCUCAGCAUGUCAUGACAUCCAAACGCCACACCAAGAUUGGAGAUUCAUUUUUUUAAUUUUAAUUUCAACUAUGGCCAGAUCUAUAAAAAUAAGCGCUAAAUUGCAUGAAAUUGCAAUUCCCCUUUAAGAAAAACGCAUUUUCCCUCCAACCAAUGUCGGUUUGUCUAAUCUCAGCUGCCCUCGACUCAUGGCUAGAUGCAAACACAACUCUGGCUAUUCAGAUUACUCAGGGAUCAAAAAGCCUGGGCACUCCUAUAAUUACAUGCGUGGAAAAACUCUUUUCCAUCGCGUUUUGCAGCCAAGGACACAUGGGAUUUGAGUGAAGCCCUUUCACACAAUCAUUAAAGAGCUUGACCUUAAUUAAUGGGGGGGUCGUCGUGGCACAGGGGGUAGAGCGGGUGUGCUGGGAACCGCAAGGUUGGUGGUUUGAGUCCCGGCUGCCCCAUGUCUUAAGUCGAAGUGUCCCUGAGCAAGACACCUAACCCCUAAUUGCUCCCUGGGAAAAAUGUGAAAAGCCAUGGGUUUAAAGUGUAGUAAGUCGCUUUGGAUAAAAGCGUCUGCUAAAUGACCUGUAAUGUAAUGUAAUGAGGACAACUGGCUAAUACAUGGAUGGUUAUGUUGAGGCGUUUUUUCUGCUGCAUUCCUCAUUCUACACUUCAUUCCCACUGCACGCGCAUCUCACCUCCAUCUCCCCGCCGACGCUCUUUGAUUUCAACUUUCCCAAACCGAACCCCCCCCUCCCUUCCAACAUUACCCCCUACUCUCUUCUCCUCCAUUUUCCCUCAGCGUCCCCAUCCGGCUGAAAAUUGGCCCUUCAGCCUUGGUGUCUUUCUUUUGGCUUUACGCUAAAUAAUCAUGCACAAUGAGAAAUUCGGAUAAGUGCCUCCUGCUCCUCAGAACCCAAUCCAACCAUUGCCUGUUUAGCACCAUUGUGUGGCUACACCUCACCCUCGGUUGAGAUAAUUAAUAGAUUCUCAUGCAGGUCACGGAGAAAGCCGCCUUUAUGUAAGACUCAUCGUUUUUGUGGUGGUCUUUGCCUCUGCCGUUCCUUCUCCUUUCUAUAUAGUUAUACACUUUUUAAUGGAGGUGACAGCUUUUACCCCAGCCAAACUUUUAUUUCUGAGUAAAUUACAAGGAAAAAAGAAAACCAGAAGAUACUGCAGGGAUUCUACCCAGGAGAUUUCAUUAUGAGAUCCAAGCUGGAGUCUGAGGCUUCAGCCAUUCAUCCAUGCACUUUAUUCAAGCAGGAUAAUGCUCUUUGUAGAGGCGUUCAAACAUCUGCGGUGACAAGUAAGUUUAAUGAGCAUCCAUGGGGUAACUACUGUAUAUGUGCCGUGCAGGGUGUGUUUGAGGCCCCAAGCAAUAUCUGUCAUCAAAUCGACUUCUGACAACCAGACAUUUAAUGUGCGAGCAUGCAGGUCGGGUCAUUGCAUAAGACCGAGCUAUCACCCGGGAUGUACAGUUCAGUACGUUAUGGGAAUUGUCCACUAAGAACGACAGAGAUGUCACCCGCUCCGUCUGAAAGGGCCAACGUAAUAAUGGGUUCAGUACCAGUGAUCAAUGCGUAGUCCAGUGAGAUGCUGAUGAGCUAUCCAAUCUUCUUGACACCACAGUGAAACAGACAAAAAACUUUAUGGUCCUGAUCUAAAAGCUUGUUCAAUAAUGAAAUCCGGAAUUACUUUUUGCUUGUUAUCCACUUUUGAAGGCUCCACUACAUACUACAGUUGAGUUGAUUUUGUGACUUGUGUAUUCCACAUGUCCAAAAUAUAUCCGUGUGCUUGUCGCUGGUCUGUUAACACUGUUGGUACCUGGAUUCAAGCAUCCAGCAGGAGUCGGAGAGACUAUCCACCACAGAGCACAGCUGUAAUUAUAAUCUCACCAGUUAAUGAGUUCUUCAUUGUGAGUGAAAAGGACCAAAUUAAUCUCACAUCGCUGGAACCCGUUGACAUUAUUCAAGCUUGUAUUUGACCGAUCUACAAGGACGUGCUGUUUGUUUUCUCAAGAAAACACGAUUCAAAGCCUCAAAGGUUCAAACUAUUCACUUGACUCCAGUGUAAAUCAAUAUAUAUAUAUAUUAUUAUUAUUUUCUGCAUCUGCCAAUGUGUUCAUUUUCCUUUUGUCAUGUAGAUUUCUACAGGCAGUAAACCCUCAAAUCUUUUCAGAUUAUUGUCAAACGAACAGGCCAUGGAUCCUGGUAACUGAAAAUAAUAAUUAGUGUGGUGAUUCCUGUGGGAGCUCUAUGUAACAAGUUUCUCUUGUGCAGUAAACUAAGAGGCUUGUAUUUAAAUUCUGCAGCAGUUCAGGUUUUAUGUGUAACUGCACAACAAGCACAUUUCUGCCCGGACAUUUUCAGAUGCACCCGACAUUCACAUUAUUUCUUGUAAUAAUUUGUGCCGUCUUUCGAAGCGUGGGAACUAUCUGUCUUUGUAAUUGAGUAUUCCUAUAACUUCAAAAAUCAAUAGUUGCUGCCUCGAUACAGACAAUAGUUUUUCUUCCUUCACUUGUAACUAGAAAACAAAGUUAAUAUAAAUGUUGUUGAUACGUAGCCUGUCUACAUCUAAUGUAAUUCCACCUGAAGAUGAUUGUCUUAGUGUAACUAAUGUCUGUUAUAAUCGGCUUCUCCACGGCAAUCUCUGCUUGUUUCUGCAUUACCUCCUUUUGAUGCCAUUUCUUACGCCCUCGUAUAUCUCGUCAAUGCUUUGUGUGUGUGUGUGUGUGUGUGUGUGUGUGUGUGUGUGUGCGCGCGUGUUUGUUCACAAUUACGUGGAGCGGAACUACGCAGGUUGACUGACAGGCUCUCUGCUUGUCCCUCAAAGGGGCCGUGAGAAGUGAGUUGCAGAAAUCCACCACACACUACUGGGAUUUCACACUGCGGCUCCAUGCCUAUACUCUGAAUUAUUUGCUGCCAGGGGAAUUUCACACUUUCACACACACCAACCAUGUCUCUGCACUUAUGGUGUGUGUGUGUGUGUGUCUGUCUGCUUAUACUGAGGGAGCAAUUCGAUGAUUGAUGGUGAUUGAUGCUGCUGGUCAGGGAGGAAAGAACACACACACACUCCAGCUCGCCUCUUAUCCGCACCUCCUGGACGGUCACCAUCAAUCGGCUAAUAGCUUUUCAUUUCAGCCCGCUGAGUUUGAGGCUUGAAUCUCGAUUCGAUUAGAAAAUGGAGUAGUUCUCAAUGGCCGCAUGAGUCCAAAUCCUCAGACAAACACAAAAUCGCAGUUUGCAUCUGGCAUUGACAUGUGUUUUGUUGUGAUCCCAUCGGAAGUGGACAGCUGAGUUGUGAAUGCACCCAAAGUCUUAGAGGUCGGGCCGCCUAGAACGAAAAUUUUGAGGGAAUCUCGGCGGCAUGUGGCUUCUGUCUUUAAGCGGUUUGUUCGUAAAUCAGCGGGCCCCAGUGAAUGACCGCCUACUCAACUGGGGUCCUGUAAAUAGAAGCACGUAUGUCAGCAUUUGCUCGAGAUCACUCAUGUUAAUACCAGGUGUCUCUUCCACUACUUGAUAGCCAGAAAUGCAUUAAUACAUGGCGGAUAGUAUGAUCGAUGCGAUUAUUCCCACUCUGAGAUAAAGAGUAGUGCCAGUUCGAUCCAUUACACAAUGUAUAUGUCAUCAAUAAAAGAUUCUGAACAAAAGGGAUAUAUUUCUUUAUAAACUGCUUAUAGUCUUCCCUUGAGCAGUUAACCCUCCUUUUCACACUUGCAUAAAACACGCCAAGGCUUUUCUGUUUUCCUUUAGCACUUCAUGCAUUGUCAUCAGCCAGCAGGAAACACACGCACGUUCUCAGAGACGCUGAUGGCAGGUGUAGGUCUCUGAUAAGGCUCUUUAUUUUGGAGUCUACAGUGUGAAUGUCAAAGGUCACAGAAACGGCAAGAAUGUCAAUAGAAUUUGCCACGUCUUUGCCUCAGUUAAAAAAGGCAACUACAUUCACAAACAUAUUUCCAAAUUCUAUCACAGUAAUAAAUGCCUGCUAGAUAACAGAAAGGUUGUUAAACUGCUGAAAAAAUAUACAUAUAUUACUAAGUAGACCAGACUGGUUUCUCAUUUGAUAUAUAUUUUUUACAGUAGUUGUUACCAAAUCCUUUUGAAUACAUAAAAUAGUUUCUUUUCAUAAGCUACAAAUCAUUUAGUGAAAAAGUCUUGAAACCUCUGACUUAUUUUUUUGUUCACGUCUAUAUAUUACUGACUUUUGCACAAAAACUCUGUGCCGACAAGUUAUUUGCUUUCACAGAGCAAGGAACUUUUGUACUAUGAAUAAAGGGAUCAAUCACCAUGUGACACAGGCAGAACAUAUCCAUUCUUACAUAAAGAAUACAACGUUGUCAGGUUUCAUUCACCGACAGGAGGACUCAAAUGCAGGUUGCGAUUCAACAAAAUAAACUUUAUUUUAAUUAAACUAUAGAAUGCCAAGAGGCAAAACGGGGACUAAGACACAAGUGUAAAGUCAAAUUUGCUACAUAAUAAGGAUAACUUGUCAAAAUAACACAAAAGCAUGCUUUAAUAUGGUGGGAAAACAUCAUCAACAUAGUAUAUACGUGAUGUACAUAUGUUCCUCAAAUGCGCACAUACAAACGUUGGGAUUAUGUAAAAUACAAACUUUGAAUUAUUUGAAAAUACAAACUUCAGAAAAUCUGACAGCAAUAUUUAUGUUUUGAGGAAGCUUAAAAGACUAAACUGAGAAAAGGAUUAUUUCUUUAUUCGUCUAGUCUAACAUUUUUUCUCGCUUUUAUGGGAACAACCAUGAAUGAAAUGUCUUGAUUGGAACCAUAAUGCGUGAAAAAUCUUUUUAUUCAAAGAUGUGUGGGUGAACCAUUCACCCAUUCCUUUCCUCAUUCCGGGAACAAGUAAAGGAUAAUCCUUUUGCCAGCAAAUCAUAGUGUUAUGAUUCUCUUGGCACGGUAUCAAUUGCAUUUAGCAUUGAGAUUUAUUUCUCUGCUUAAUUCAUACUCCACUGCAAAUCAGUUUCAGUUCAGGAGACAGGAAGCUACUAUGUAAAAAAAUAUAUUUGACAAUUGAAGCUUGGCGCAAUCUAAAAGAUUUGAUUUUUCUGAUGGAGGGACGUUAAGUAUCAGUGGGUAUUUAUUCAAGAAUUAAGGUACUCGAGGCAGUACUGUAUACUUCAAUAAUGUACUGUUCAAGGGUUUGCCAGCCCUCCACUACGCAUUGGGCCUACAUCGCCCUUGGACAAUACAUUACUGCCUCCAGUCCCAUAUUGCUCUUAUAACACGGUUAACAGCGACACUAUAAAUAAUAAGUAAAUAGUAAGCUGCCUUUCAACACAAAAUAAUUGUAGCCACCAAACAUUGUGUAUCAGGAUCAGGAAUCAGGAAACAUUUAUUGCCAAAAUAUGUCAAACAUACAAGGAAUUUGUCUUGGCGGUUGGUGCGUGACAGUAGACAAUGUAACAAUAGAAAACAAGACAGCAGUGCAGUGUAUCGCAUGUUAGUAGCCUAAACCGUCCCGGUAUGUGUGGAUGUUGCUGUGCAACAGAAUUGGCAAUGUUUGUUGCCUUCUUAAUGCCACAAAAACAAUUGUUCUUUGUAAAAUUGAAACAGCUCAUCAUUACAAUAUACCAUAGUAAGAGAUUAGUAAGUAGACGAAUGGAGAUCAAUUCAGACACUCUGGAGACGUACUUGAACAGAUGUUUGAAGAAAAAAAAAGUGUUUCUAAAUGAUAUAACAUCCAGGAAUUAUAAGCUGUAGACGGGCGAUAUAAACAUUUGACCUAGAGAUUGCUGUGAACCUUGGAAAGGUCUGUUAAUACAUCCUAUUAAGAGUAUAAUGAGCUGCGGAACAGUGUAAAAACUGUGGACCUACCGACAGCACGAGAUGAAAUUUAACAGCAAAUCAUCCCGUUGGUGUAUUUCUGUCUGACAGGCGCCCCCUAGAGCCGCCGGCAUGGCUAAAAGUGGAAGGUACAUUUUUCUUUGAGUCUGACCGACUCUGGCAGCGUUUCACCCCUGAGCUACAAAAGGCACAAGAUUCAGUAUUUGAGUUUUAUCGGAGCAUUCAAGCUGGUGUGCCGUGAAAUAAGGAUCAAAGCUGUAGGCAACACGCUGCGUAGGGAUACGGAGAGGAUUGCUCAGCAUUUUCACUAAGUAAGUAGGUCUCUCUCAUAAACAAGUGUUUGCCUGCUGCGGUCAGCAUUUCCAAUCGAAAUCCCAACACUAAUUAGCUGGGAGAUGUUGCAGGGUUGCACAAUAUUCUGUCAGAUUCUCUAAAUGCACUCCCUCUCCCAUUCUCACUCACUCACACCCAAACGCAUAUGCAUGGACACGCACCAGUCAGUUAAAAUGUAGGCCCAUGUUUGCUGUCCUUAAUUGGCAACGCGGGACUCCAAGCUGAAUGUAAAACACUAAAGAAAAUGAUGAGAGCACAUAUUAGACAGCACUGGCCCGGCAUACACAAUAUGGUUCCCUUCCCCCCAACGUAAAAAGAGCUCUAUUUUUAUCAAUUAACACGCUUCUCUUUGUGGGGGGGGGGGUCCACUUGUUUUCCCCAUCAACAAAAUACUGUGGCAUUUGUUGUCUCGGUAGAACCACGGGAGCCAUGGGGCUGAAAGCAUGUAAAAGGUCAAUACCGUCACGGUAAACCCGGAGAUUUACUGCAACAACCUGCUGAGCGACCAAGGUUUGUCUCUGACACGUCAGGGGAAGAUCCUUGUUAAAUGUGGGAUGCCAGCAGGCUGAGCAGCGAGGUGAGGCUGUGCUCUUGGCUGUAGGAGGAGCCACAGCUGCCUGACGAAGACCUCUGAAUGUACCCCUAGAGGUGGUAAUUGCAGCUAUGCUACUUUUUAACAUGGACUCUAUCAUGCAUUUGUGUCUAAUGGGUACAACGGCUUUAGAAAUUGGUCGCUGAUGUCCGCAGUCACUAAAUGGGCUGUAAUGUAAUUGCUCGAGGCAACUCCUCACCUUCUAUUUUACAAAAACAUUUCAACAAUAUGGAUGGGAUUUUCCAGAGCGAGAACACGAGCAAGACACACAAUAACAGACGAAUUGGAUAAGCAAGGGGUAAGAAAGAAUACAUUUAGCUUUGUUAUUUCUGGGUUUUUUAUAGUUAUAUUUCAUAAUGUUUUCAGAUUUCUUUUAAUAACAAUCUGAGCCUACUGAGCAGUGUGCUAGUGCACGUACUGAAGCAUUGAGCAGUUGCCGGAGGCAGGCUGUUUAGUGGCUGACGGCUGGAUCGCUUCCCUCAAUACGGGAACAAGUUCAAAUUAGCUGUCCCCAUUUGUGACUUUCACACAAAACACAAGAGGAAGUAGAAAAAUGCGGGACCGACCUUCAAUGUUUGGUUAAAUGUCAUUUUUCCUCCCCGUUAGUUGCAACGGCCACAAAAAAACAUUUGCAGCCUCCACAUUGGAAAAGAUCACUCCUCUAACAAUGCUCCCCUGUUUUAACACAGCACAACUUUAUUUCUAACCUUGUUUCUUUCUUCCACAUAGUGAAUGAAAUCAAAAUAGGCCGUUCCUUGUGGACUCUCUUGAGUUGAGUUAUUUAUUGUGUGUCUGUGUGGGACUUGGUCUAAUCUUUGAACCAUUGAUUGGUGUGUACAAACCAAGGACAAUACAGCAACAGUACAUGGCAGUAUACUGGUGAAAUGACGUAUUGCAUAGUAAAACCAUGACACACACACACAGAAAUUUAUCUUUUCAUGCUCUCUCCUGGUUUAUACGUGCAAUAUAUCCCAAGAACCAAAACAAGCACUCUCCUUCUUUCCCUGGAUAACCAUUUCUCCCAACCUGCCCUUUUGAAGCUGCUGACACCCAUUGUUGGACAUGCAUAGUGAGUAGGGGUGUAACGACUCAUCCACUGAAUCGAUUAUUCGAUUUAUAUCCCUGCGAUCCAACUGAAUCGAUCUGUGCUCCGCAAAUCGGCAUUCCGGACAACAUAUAUCGAUUACAAAUCGAUUAAAAUGGUACAUAAUCGAUUUGUAUCGAUACUUGGAAACUGCAAAUUGGAUUUAAGCACAAAAACGGUAUGGAUGUGUGUUUGUUUGUUUUUUAGCACUUUAGACACGUUAAAACGUUACUCGAUUCUGUCUGCCUGUCUGUGACGUCAUCAGUACGCAGCGGCAGCCGUGCGAAACUCGGAACAACAACAGAACACAGCAUGGAGGAGACGACUGCGAGCAAUACAUUUACAAACCAACUUAUCGAUCCAGCGUGUGGAAGCAUUUUGGCUUUUGCAAACACAGAGGUUAAACAACACGCCGACAGUCGGGCACCUCUAGCAGCGUUACCGCUGCAGCAGCAGCAGAAGGUAACUCCAGCUCUGCAGACACCUCAGGCCUCGCCAGUAGGAAACUCAACAUCACAGUAACAAUUGCCAAGUUUAGCUGUAAAGACAUGCAGCCCUACAAUGUGGUUGAAAAUCCGGGGCUCUGUGAAUUGAUCCAAACAUUGUGUAAUUAUUGUGUAAUGUUUACAUUGAAAAUGGCACUCAAAUAAAAGGUUAAUACAUUUGCCAUCAAUUGUUGUUUGCUUGUUUAUAAUAUCCAUAAUUAAUUUAAACCUGAUUUCCUUACAAGAAACAACAGGGAUCUCGUAAAAUUUGCCUGCACUGUCCAGUAAAGUUACUGAAUCGAUUUUAAGUCACUGAAUCGAAUCGUUCUAAAUUAACCCAGAUCGUCCAUGAAUCGAAUCGGCAACCAUCGGCAAGAAUCGAAUUGUUGUUAAAAUGAAUCGUUACACCCAUAAUAGUGAGCCAAAAGGGGAACUUUGCAGAGGCUGUGUGUGUAUGUGUGUGUAAAGCCAUUUGACAAUCAACAUAACGACAGUAAAUCUGUUUUGUUUGUUUUUUCCUUUUUAUUCCUUUGUAUUAUUUUUUUCCUUUUUAUUUCAAAUGGGUGAGAUUAUUUGUAUCUUUUUAUGUUUGUGCCACACUUUCCAAUGUACACAGCAGAAGUAAAUCAACAGCCCCCGCAGCCUUUAUCUCCCAUAAAGCUCCAAUACUCCCCCUGCAGUCGUUCCGUCCGGUGUGUAUUUCAUAGGCCUGUCCGGCUCUCAUCCCUCACUUCAUCUUUUUAAGUACACAUCUGUUCCCUCCACCUCAUGAAUAAGCCCUGAAUUUGAAUCAUAGGACUUGAGGUUUGGGAUAUUGCUCCAAUAAAGGCAGACUGCACAUACAAAUGUUGUAUGCUCUCCCCUCAUUAGUUUUCUUCUCUCGUAUUUGAAUCAGACCUUUUUACUUUGCACACACACCUUGGGACAUUAAAGACACUUUGAUGGCUCAGGGUUUGAUUAGAUUAGCGUUAUAUUACAUACAUUUAGUAUUUCAGGGACAGGGAGUUGAGUUACAAAUGAUCAAAAAAUCUAAUUCUUUGAGUCUCAAACAUUGCAUGUUACAGCUAUUGUAACAUGCAAUGUUCUGUACCAUGUAAAUAUGAAACUGGACCAUUAAUUGGAGAAAUUUCCAAUACACCUGUAAAUGUGUUAUUGGGAUAUAUUUGGGUUAAGCGCUUUCCAGACAGAUGAUAUAUGAGGACGGUGAUGGGUAAGAUGACAUCAUACCCAUAUCAGAGGUGGACCGCAGGGACUGGAUAAUGUCCGAUCAAAUUCCUCGUUAAAACACACACAAUCUGCCACACUGCCAGACAUCCACUUCCCCUCUUUUUCCUCCUCUCAUCCAAGACUAUCUCUUCUGAUCUCUCCGUCCCUCUUUUUUCUUCACCCAGCCUCGAUCUUGCAUUGAUUAAUUCCACAGGGCUGCCAUCUGAUGCUUUUCAAGCCAGUCCUACUACCAUCGCCCAGGGCUAGGAAGACGACCGGAGGGAUACUGACUCAGUGCAUUGAAGCUCAGAGAAAAAGCGAACUUUCUUCACCAUAGAUCAAGGCACCUUCCUUCCAGAGUUGUUGGUGGAGAGUUUGAAAAUAAAGCUCAGAGCCUUUGGUCUUCAGAGGAGCAGAGAGUUUGACAGGGACACGGCAGCAUUUACCAAAUCUAGCCACGCUGUGUUUGGAAAGCUGGCUAUUUGGAAUGAUGUGUGUUGAUUGAGAAUAAACAAGGUGGGGCAGGGACUAUUUCAGGGGCGUCUAUCUCUGCUCUGUGGAAGGGGUCAACACUGCCUUUCUCUAAGUGCAUUUCCCCAAGGGCCAGGCCAUUUAUAAGCUCAGGGUGCCAGUCUUUCAAACAAACCAAAAAUGAUGAAUAUGUGGGCAUAUAUUUAGGCUCAUCAUUGUUAAUUAUCUUCAUACAUUUAGUAUUAUUAAAAGACUUAUUUGUAUCGGCUUUAUCGGCGUGAACAGUGUCAUGUGUCACGUCACUGUAAAGUUAAUAGAGAAAUUCCGGAGCUGCAGCUUGUGCUCGUUUAUACACGACCGGCACAACAGGCUGACUAAAAUGUCAAAAGUGAAGGCACAGGCUCGCUGGGCUCAAGCGCUUUGACCAGAAGACCUGGUGUUGAUUACGUUUGAGUGUGAACGCUGAACCUCCUAGUAGCAAGAGUUGUUUCUUCUCCACAGGGAGGCUGGCUGCACGCUGCAAGGAGAGGGACCCGUCCUCCAGUACGGCUGUGUAUAAAUUACUCCUUGACACAUUCAGGGGAAUAUGUCGUAAAUUACAUGUUUGCCGUUUAUCCCCCAGAUAUACUCUGCCUCAGCUAAACACGGUCAACAACAACGAGCGCAUUGCCAAAACUUUGUUGGGUGAAAGUCAAACAAAUAAGAUAAUGAUGUAAUUCUCUGCAAAGGCUUCAAGGUAACUAGACCCACAUUUGUAUUGUGUUGUACUGUUUUUGCACAUUGUUGUUUUUUUAAGCGCGCUACCAUGUUGUCCCCCCAUGUAGUCUUAAACAUGGACAUUUUUCCCAAUCUCUCCCCACUCCCCACAAUGUGUGUUGAAGAAUUACCAUCUUAGGACAAAACAGGAAAUGUGUUUGUACGUUUAAUGUUUAAGAAAUGCAUUCACUUUUUUUCACUAAUACGUUUUUGGACACCAUAUUGUCAAUAUGUGCGCAUCACCUUCUAAUGCAGCUUUAAUGUGCAUUCCCUCUGAAGGCAGAAACCAUCCUGUCCUCUUUUAAACCCACCAGUUCCUCCUGCAGUCAGUAGGCUCUGAGAGUUUUCAGUUGGCAGGAACGACCGGUCUGAUCCAGCGUGAAGUGGGUGAGUGGGUGGAAGCACGAGAGUGCGGAUGAACAGUCUAGUCAGACAGACUCCUGCAGAUCAGUGCGGUCCUUAGAGAGACGUGAUGGGAAAUCUAUUGCAAACCAUCAUCGGUGCAAAUUUCCAUUUCAAUAAAGAGUCAAUCAGGUGCCUUUUUGUUACCGGCUCCCUUUGAUAACAGCCGCCCCAUGACAAAUGCUUUAUGAUGACACGUACCCGGGGAAAAUGUGAGUGGAUACGGAUAUGCUUUUUGCAUGCAGACGUGCACUCACCAGCCAUUUGGAGAAUCAGCAUUCAUAUGACUGACCCUUUUUGGAUUUAUAUAUAUUUUUUUAGCAGACAGGGGGAGGGAAAGAGUGCGUGCAGAUUAGGACUUUACAAACGCUGUUGGAAAGAGAACAGCAUUCUAAUCAGCCAGGUUGUCAGCUUCCACAGGGAUUCAUUUGUCCUUGCUCCUCAGAAGGUCUGUCGUUUCUGAAGAGAUUAUAUUUGGGGCCAGCGAGGCGUGUGAUGUGUAACCUAAAGGAAGGUCUAGCACAAAAGUCUGUAGAAACCUACAUCAAUCUAUACACUGACAUUCCCUCUCCCAACCAAACAACGUAUAAAGUCAACAAGAAUGAGAGCAAUAUUCGUUUAGCAAUUUAUAGUUCUUAACUAUCUUUAAAAAAAAUAUUUGGAAUGGAAAAAUUCACUUCUAAUGUUAAUUUAGUUUCAUUUUUCAUCAUCAAGAAACACUGUAAAGGACAUUUGAAUGGAUUACAAGCCAAAAGGGAACUACAGUUGAACUGUAUAAAACUAGUUAGGUUGCAGUUCACAAUGAAGCGACACGAUGAGUCACGCCGAGUGACAUUUUAUGACAUACCUGUUGCUAAAGUACAACCUAAAAUGAAUUUAAAAAUGUACUUUUGCGCAAAACAGUGAUAUAUUUUUUGGAAUAACGAAUAAUUGACAGGUGGUAGUGAUUAACGUCCCUUCUAUUUAAGUUAGUGACAUAUAAAGGAAAGGCUAAGCUAGCCUAGUUUUUAAAAUGUGUUGCAAAACCCAGCCUUGUGUUGUGGUGCAACUCUUUUCCAGUGAAAGAAGCCAGCAGCAAUAGCUCACUGACAGCCCCUUCCUUCAGGACCCCUGCCCCAGGGGUAAUUAUCAGGUAGCGUAAUCAACGAACCCGGCUAUUGUUAGUAGCUCGCAGCAUGUGGAAGACUGACAAGCAAUGACUGCAGAGGCUGAACACACACAGGCAGACAGGUGUGCUGGCGGUUUAAUCGUUUCAUUUAAACGCAUUGAUUUGUGUAUCCAUUCACAGCAUGAAUACAAGGUCCGAUGUCCAGAAUUGUAUAAAAAUCAACAAUUGUUGGACUUGUAAUCAGUAGUUUGAUAGACUUAAAACUUUGGUUAGAUACGUGGAAGUGAAGAAAAAAAUGUUAGUUUAAACUUAAUCCACUUUCCAAGGUUUCAAACUGAAUUUGAAGCCCUGCCAACAUUGGCCCUUUUAAGCGCUGUAAUAACAUGAUUUGGUGUACAACAUUCAAGGCUGCAGUAAGAUUUGACAAUGUAAUAUUCCUGAACAUCCGCAGCUAAUAACGGUCAUGAAUGAGACGAGAGCAGCGUCUGUGCUGCACGAAACAGGAUGUGGAUUGCUCAGAUAUUAUGUUAUAACAUAUUAACUGGGUUGAGCUACCAUAACAGAUGCUGAUAAAAGGAAUGAGUUCUGUCAGUCACGACCUGGUGGUUUUGAAGAGAUGAGGGGUGGACACAGGAGCAAAUCAGAAAAGAGGCAAGUGUACAAGGAGCUAAUUGCUGCCACUAACUCAACUAAAUUUCUCAUUAAGAAAGAAUAUCUUUGCUGCAGGUGGAAGAACGAUGUGAAACUCUGCUUCCUCUGGGACCAGAAAGAAAGGCAUUCAAAAGUUCAUCCCAGUGGAAUCAACCACUCUGUAAAGGGGGACCUUAAAACUUUUACCUUGAAGAUUCUUUCAAGCCUGAGCCUUUUUAUUAGAAUUUUCAUAACGAUAUAAAUUUCAAAAAAUAGUUCUUAGUUAGAGAGUGCUAAUCCUUUUUAGUUGCUGGACACAGCAAUUCUGCAUGUAGGACUCUGGUGCAUUAUCAGCCUUUCGUUUGCUAUGGCACUUGACAUUUCUCUUCCCUAGCUGGAGUGUUAUGGAGCAAUGGUAGGAAUCUCUUUUAUCAGAUUCUCAGUUAUGCAUAAAAUGGCAGGCUUGGGUGAAAACAAAGUGUCAUGUUCUUUUACAGCAGUUGGCUACAAAUUUCUUGAUGUUCAACUGAAAACAAAGCAAUUAAACAAUCAUUUACAAGAAUUCUUAAACCCUCACAGCAGGCUCUGUACUGUGUGUGUGUGUGUGUGUGUGUGUGUGUGUGUGUGUGUGUGUGUGUGUCGGGGGCAGCUGAGUGCAGAAGAACGUGUUGGCCACCGACGCCAAAUGCAACAUCAAUGUCACACUCAAGGCGAUAAUUGGUUGGGCCUUUUUUGACAACUGCUGUUUCCAAUGUCAAUUAUGAACGUUCAGUUAUAAUGAUUAAAAUAAAGUGAAUUUGCAUUGGGGAUUCACUUCUCAUUCUAAGCACAACAGUAGUGUCAACGACUCUUGAUGCACCCAUCAAAGCACCUUCUUACUGAACUUCACAGUACACACAAUGUUGAAAUGUACUGCAGGAUAUUUGCAUAUGAAUGUAAUUUGUCGUAGACCGGGUUGAAAUAUUAGACCGUGUUCAUUAAUCUAAAUUAAGCUAUUCUGACUCGGGGACACCUAAAAAAAAUCUUGACUUAAUGUCUAUGAAGUGAAUUUGCUAAAAGAUUGCAAAGAAGAUGCCUUUGUUAGAGGUCAGCUGAUGUGCGUCUUUCUGCAGCUCAUGCUGUGUAACUCCAUCAUGCCCGUCUCGUGUUUCUCGCAGACUGCCAUGUCAUGAGAGCAGCCGAGAAAACGUCAUACACACACCUAUGGACGGUCAUCCAAACACACACACGCCAGACACACUCGACAGCAGUAAUGCUCUGGCUGCUACUGCUGACUCCCGACGCCUGACGUUUGUUUUAGCUUUGCACUCCGGGUUGCCAGAAUUUCCUGCUCUUGGGUGAGCAGCAGGAAAGAAAUGUGGGGAUGAAUGUUAAAAACACGCACACACACCGCACUGCAUAAAAGUACCACUCCCACUUAUUAAAUCUUACAGAAUGAAGUGUUCCAUGCCAUAAAGUCAUAAGACAGCCCGUCUGAGUGCUGAGUAUUUCUGAAGCUCUCAACUAUCUUGUGUGCGUGUGCGCGUGCGCGUGUGCGUGUGUGUGUGUGUGUGUAUGAGUGUUUCUCUUACAAGGAGUAAUGAGCCCUACAAGAGUUCACCAGUCGACCAUGAUAGAUGAAGCUGUAAUGGCUGUUGCUGUAGAAACCAAAUCAUCAAUCAACAGCAGCAAUUUUCAUUUAGCACUUAAGACCAGUGACUCUGUGGUUUUACCAAAUUUAUGGAGACCUUAUGUCUCGGACCUGUGAUCAACGUAUUGAUCAUUUGAAGUGAGUGAUCCGUCCUACGGCGCUUUAGCAAAGUUCAUUUGAUUCGGACAAUGGGGAAAUAUUCAAAUUGUAUAUUGUACAGUUCUGGUUUUGAUCUGUGUUCACACUUGCUUCAUCUUGUAUCAGCAGAGCUGCUGGGACCCACGUGGGGAAAGAUGAUUAAAUCACCGACAGCAAGCCUGCUAUUUAUGAGUUUUUCUAUUUUCUGUGGUUUCUGAAUGAGCUUACGAGGGAAUGACAAAUUAUUAUGUAGAGACCGGAUAAAAAACUGGUGUUUUGUACAGCAAUAAGGUGAGGAUUGCUGCAAGCCCUUUUUCAUAAUGAAUUAUAGUAUUGAUGAAGUGCCAACGUACAGAGAGGAUAAAAGCGUAACAGAUUACAGUUUUUAGUGCAUUAAAUUGCCGUAUUGACUGGGGAACAUCUGCAGCCUUUUGCAUACAUGACUGUGGUAUUGAAAAUAAUUACAUACAAUCCAUAUUAUCCGAUCACUUCGUAACUCAUCAAUAAAAAUGGAUCGUUUGUCUUUUUUCAAGCAUUUAUUUUUUUACAUAUUAACAAGCCCAAAUGAACAUAUCGUUUUUAGGUUUUGUGAUAAAACAUCUUUCAAGUCUAGUAAAGUUGCAACUUUGCAGUGGCAGCUUACGGUCCUUUGUGCUUGUUGAUAAUUUGAAGCACUGAUCCUCACAUUUGCACUUUUCCAAUUAUAGCAGUAUGUAUCCAUCGCAUUCAAAAUUACAACUGGAACAAAAACAAAUCAGCACAUUGUGCUCUGCGUUCUGUGCACACUCUUCAAUCCUGACUACCAGAAUGAUUGCAAUGUGAAAUUGUUGUUGUGCUAUGGCAACAUUUUCCUAUCAGUAAGAUUCCAUAAGAAUUAAUCUGAAAGAGAAAGAACAGAUAUAAGUGGGGCAAAGGGUCAAUCCAUUAAGUGUAAAUGGUUCUAGCAGCAGCAUUGGUCAUAAAAGGUCAGUUUCUGUGUGUCGAGCACAAUUGGGAUCCAUAAUAUUUCAUAUAUGUCUAUCCAUCCAUCUGCGUUCUAUCAUUGAUGCAUAUUCAAUGGAUGCAGACAGAUGGAAUCUACACCGGAGGUGUGGAAAGUUAAUUUACUUUUUCGGUCUUUCGUGCUGGUUGUACAUGUUUCACCGAGGUCGGAGCUUAUAAGUGUGAAGAGCCCAGACGGCACUCGGCAGUCCACAAGCGUGUUGUUGUCGCUACCGAGCUCGCUGCCACUCCUAGCUGUCAGCUAUCUCUGGUUGAAAUAAAGGUUCAAACUUGACCAGUGACAUGUAUGUGUAGUGAUGCCGCUGGUUGUCGAGGUGGUGCCCAGUAAAUAAUGUGGGUUUCGUUGAUCACUGGAAGACGUUUUGGGGAGAGCCUGGUCUGAUUAGGGGGGACGGCAUCCAUCCCACUUUGGAUGGAGCUGAACUUCUUUCUAAGAACCUGACCCAGUUUCUUAGUGGACUUAAUCCAUGACCCUGAGUUCAGACCAGGGAGCAGAGUCGCAGUCUUACACACUUGUCUGCGCUUCAAUCUGAGCAGUCACUCACCAUAAUUAACCCUAUAGAGACCUUGUCUGCCCCACGGACACAGUUAUCUAAGUUAAAGGUAAACAACCGAGGAGUUAUAGUAAAUAACGUAAUUAAAGUUAAAACUAAUAAUGCAAUAGUGCAACAAAAUAGGAGAAUUAAAGGGGGUCUUUUGAAUAUCAGAUCUCUGUCAUCUAAAGCUGUUUUGGUAAAUGAACUAAUAUCAGAUCACCAUGUUGAUAUAUUUUGUCUUACUGAAACAUAGUUGUUGAAUGGGGAAUAUUUCAGUUUAAAUGAAGCGACUCCUCCGAGUCAUGUUAAUACUCAUAUUCCCCGAGGCACAGGCCGAGGGGGGGGGGAGUGGCAGCUAUUUAUGACUCCUGCCUUUUAAUAAACUUUAAACCUAAGGUGGAUUAUAACUCAUUUGAAAGCCUGGUUUUUAGUCUUUUGCAACCGACCUGGAAAAUAAUCCAGCCGGUUCUCUUUGUAAUAGUGUACAGGGCCCCAGGUCCUUAUUCAGAAUUUCUUUCUGAAUUUUCACAGUUCUUAACGAGUUUGGUCCUUAAAACAGACAUGGAAAUUAUUGUGGGUGACUUUAACAUUCAUGUGGAUGUCGACAACGAAAGCCUUAGUACUGCAUUUCUUUCAUUGUUAGAUUCAAUUGGUGUAAAUAAACCAACUCACUGUUUUAACCACACUCUCGACUUGGUUCUUGUGUAUGGGAUUGGGAUUGAACAUUUAACAAUUUUUCCACAGAACCCUCUCCUGUCGGACCAUUGUCUGAUAACCUUUGAAAUUCUACUAUCGGAACCACCUCCUCCUGCCAAGGGUUUCUGCAGUCGACGCUUAUCGGAUACCGCUGUAGCCUCAUUUAAAGAAUUCCUUCUGCUCUAAAUUCAGUGCCCUGCCUCAAGAUACAAGAAGACUCCUGUGAGAACCUCAGUCCGUCCCAGAUCGAUAAUUUUGUCGAUACUGCUACAGGCUCUUUGAGAGUGGCGCUGGACGCUAUUGCUCCUCUGGAAAGAAGAAUAGCAACAAGAAGGAAGUCUGUUCCGUGGUAUAACCCUCAAACACGGAACCUAAAGCAAACUGUGCAGAAACUUGAACGAUUAUGGCGUUCCACCAAAUCAGAAGGAUCUAGGCUAGUUUGGCAAGACAGCCUUAAAACAUAUAAGAAGGCUCUCCGUAACGCAAGAGCAUCUUGUUACUCAUCAUUAAUAAAGAAAAAUAAAAACAACUCCAGGUUUCUCUUCAGCACUGUAGCCAUACUGACAGAGUCACAGCUCUGUUGAGCCGUGUAUUCAUUUGGAUCUCACUAGUAACGACUUCAUGAACUUCUUCAAUAAGAUUCUGACUAUCAUAGAAAAAAUUGAUGGUCUCCUGCCUUCAACCUGUCCUCCGAUGUAGGAACCUUGGAUGCAGCAGUGGGCCCUGAUGCCUGCUUGGAUGCCUUCUCUUCAAUCAACCUUGAUCAACUGACUUCUUUAUUUUCAAAGUCUAAAUCUUCUACUUGUCUCUUGGAUCCGAUUCCGACUAAGCUGCUUAAGGAAGUUUUUCCUUUAGUUAGCACAUCCUUAUUAGAUAUUAUGAAUCUGUCUUUGUUGACAGGACAUGUACCACAGUCCUUUAAGGUAGCUGUAAUUAAACCUCUUCUUAAGAAACCUACUCUUGCUUCAGAGGUGUUGGCUAACUACAGACCUAUCUCUAAUCUUCCCUUCCUCUCUAAGAUCCUUGAGAAAUCCGUCGCAAAUCAAUUAUGUGACUUUCUAUAAAACAAUGCUUUGUUCGAGGAUUUCCAGUCAGGAUUUCGAGCGCAUCAUAGUACAGAAACACUGGUGAAAAUGACCAAUGAUCUUCUACAUCGGACCAGGGACUCAUCUCUUUUAUUGUCUUGCUGGACCUCAGUGCCGCAUUUGAUACCAUAGACCAUUGUAUCCUGUUGCAGAGACUAGAACAUUUAAUUGGUAUCAAAGGAACUGCACUCAGCUGGUUUAAAUCCUACUUAUCGGAUCGAUCCCAGUUUGUGCUUGUAAACGGUGAAUCCUCAAAGACCACCAAUGUUGGUCACGGAGUCCUAUAAGGUUCUGUACUUGGACCAAUUUUAUUUACCCUCUAUAUGCUUCCUUUGGGCGAUCUUAUCAGGAAAAACUGCAUAAACUUCCAUUGUUAUGCAGACGAUACUCAACUGUAUCUGUCGAUCAAGCCAGAAGAGACGGACCAGCUGUGAGGGGUCAGGACUUCGACUCAGGUGCAGAGCAAGAAGGCAACACAAACUUCUCUGGGAAAGACAAAAGAUAACCUGACACAGACAAGUGGGGAACUGAGGCUUAAAUACAGGUGUCAAAAAACAGAAGUUAUCUUGAUAGGCCCAGAGCGCCUUCGAAGCCAGCUGUCACGUGAUACCGUUUUUAUGGAUGGAAUUGCUCUGGUACCCAGCAGCACCGUCAGGAAUCUGGGAUUUCUCUUCAACCAGGAUAUGACCUUCAACUCGCAUUUAAGAAGACUUCAAGGACUGCCUAUUUUCAUCUACGUAACAUAUCAAAAAUCAGGAACUUCCUGUCUCAAAGUGAUGCAGAAAGAUUAGUUCAUGCGUUUGUCACUUGCUAGACUGGACUACUGUGAUUCUUUGUUAUCAGGCUGCUCUUGUAAAUCUCUUAAGCCUCUCCAGUUGAUUCAAAAUGCUGCAGCACGUGUAUUAACAAGAACUAAGUAAAGGGAUCAUAUUACUCCUCUAUUAACUUCUCUGCACUGGCUCCCUGUUAAAUCCAGAAUAUAUUUGAAGGUACUUCUCCUCACCUACAAGGCACUUGCUGGUGAGGCACCAUCAUAUCUUAAAGAGCUUGUAACACCUUAUUGCCCUACAAGGAAAUAAGGUGAAUAAGGAAGAAUUGCUCCAUAGAUGCUGGGUUACUUGUUGUUCCUAUGGUUUUAAAAAGUAGGCUGGGGGCCAGAGCCUUCAGUUAUCAAGCUCCUUUUUUGUGGAACCAGGUUCCACUUUCAGUCCGGGGGGGCAGAUUCGGUCAGCUCUA